UGCUCUCAGGACAAAGAACUGCACGCUGAGCGCCUCGUGUUGCGAUCCUGUUCUAGACGAGGCCACCCGCUCACCUCACAGACGACGUGGGUGGCUUCCCACACACAGUGGUGACUGCAGAUGGGGAUGGAGCACACCAAGGACCAGAGCCAGAGCUAAGGAGCUGACCUUGGACUCUGAGGCAAAGCUUCACCGUUUCUUGUAAGGCACUGAAAUGUGCACAUUGCAGUGUCACUCGUGUGGAGACAGAAUGUCCUUCUGUGAUUGGAGGUCUUUGUUCUGAAGAUUUCCAGCCGCUCCAUGAAGCGAAUGCCAUGGUGAUCUAUAGAAGACGUGCCCAGCGUGUGAUCAAACAUACAGUGAAUGCUGCUGCUGAACGCCAUCCAACAGAAAGGCGGGCUCAAGAAAACGGCAGCGCUUCCUCAGCCACCUCAUUCAAUGCUCUGGCAUCGGGCGACUUCUGGCUCCUUCCCAAAGAUAAACUGACCAUGAAAGGGCAACACCCUGAAUUGAUUCAGGACAUCAAGGCAGCCAGGACAGCACACACAAGACACUCAGGAAGGAGAACUUGCAGAGCAGCUGCAGACAGUGGGAAGGAGGAUGAUUGUGCUAGACACUGGAGAUGAAAGGCUGGCCACGCCUAGCUCCUGCUGUUGAGAAACUUCCAAGUCAUCGGUGGAAGGCCUACCAGAAAGAUAGACAAUUUUAAUCCAGCAGCAAUGCCACGGAAAAGCACAUGCAGGAGAGAGACUGGAGGUCAGGUGAAGUCACCCCUUCUAGGGGCCUUGGCA
rnacentral:lncRNA from 1 species